rnacentral:rRNA from 1 species
UACGGAGGGGGCAAGCGUUAUUCGGAAUUACUGGGCGUAAAGGGAGCGUAGGCGGCCCUGUAAGUCAAAGGUGAAAUCCCUCGGCUCAACUGAGGAACUGCCUUUGAAACUGCGGGGCUUGAGGCCGGGAGGGGGUAGUGGAAUUCCCAGUGUAGCGGUGAAAUGCGUAGAUAUUGGGAGGAACACCAGUGGCGAAGGCGGCUACCUGGACCGGUUCUGACGCUGAUGCGCGAAAGCGUGGGGAGCAAACAGG